rnacentral:lncRNA from 1 species
UGGCUCCUACCCCUGCGUCCUGCCACCACCCUGUCCUGACUUCGUCCACUACGGAGUUGGGAGCCUUUGGCGGCUUCUGCCACUGCAUCCUGCCACCUCAAUGUCCCGACUACGUCCACUAGGGAGUUGGCAGCCUUAGUGAUGACGCCAAGCAGGCUGACAGCCGACACAAAGAUUCAGGUUGCCUCGAAAUUUUACCCAAGCCAUGCCACACACUCAUGCCAGGCCUCUUGCGAACAACGUAUAACCAGGCUCAACGCAUCAGUGCCGAGUGAGUCCGGAGAUCAAGGAAACCUGUUGUGCAACCAGCGUGCAACACUUGGUGACCCCUCUACGUGUUCCAUCUAUUUCACAGCUACACCUCAGCUUCCAUCUAUCCAAGCAGCAUUACCAGCUGUGGUCACUUAUCGAACCAUGGAUGAAUGUUGGGGUGGAGUGAUUUGAACAGACAUUCUAUUUGUCUCUUCAAAUUCUUUGCAAGUACUUCUGUUAUUAUAAUUCAUAUGUUUCUUUACUACCUAGUUUUUAAUAGUUCCUUUCUCUUGGAGUUCUCACUAUCAACUCC